UAGUCAUUAAGGAAAUGCAAAUGAAAAUCACAAUGAGAAACCAUUUCAUUCCCAGGAGGAUGGCUAUAAUCAAAAUGAUGGAUAAUAGUGUUGACAAGGAUGUGGAGAAAUUGGAACCUUUAACCAUUGCUGGGAAGAAUGAAAAUGGUGCAGCCACUGGAAGAAAAAUUGGCAGUUCUUCAAAAAGUUAAACAUGGAAUUACCAAAGGACUACUCUUAGUGACAACAGGUCUUUUCAGCUUCAUCAUCCAAACUCUGAAGGCCUUCUCCAUCACCACCUGCCUGGUGCCUCAUCUGCUGGUCUCUCUUUUGGGGCCACAGUUACCACCAAAGAAGGCAUAGGAAGUACCCAAAACAGAAUUCACCUAGUUCAAGGUGGAUCCUCUGUGUUCCUUGCUUUUAGGAAAAGAUUACUAAAGGCCAUCCACCCAGCAUGGAUUCCACACCACAGGCACGAUGAUGAGCGUCUGUAUUUGCUAAGGAACUACCUGGAGCCCUCCACAGAGCAGUCCAUGGGAAGCUUGGGGCUUCACACCCAACAGAGAGCACAACUUGGGGCCUGAACUCACGACCUGAGAUCAAGAUCUGAGCUAGGAUCAAGAGUCAGAUGCUUAACCAACUGAGCCACCCAGGUACCCCUCAUCUAGGUAAGUUUUUAGUCUACUAAUUUACUUAUUUCUUUCUCAGAUUUAUUCAUGUGCCCUUCUAUUAGCAUUAGUUGAGUUCCUUCUGUGUUGUGAGCUGUGUGACCAUGGUUCUUACCCCUAGGGAGAAUCAGUCCCUGAUUGGGACUGAUUAAUGACUGAUUAAUCAGGGACUGAUUCAGGGACAAUUAAUAUCUUUAAGCAGUUGAUGAAUACAGAAAAUUUUGUGCAAAAUGUGUAUAUAUUCACAUGUGACUUUGAGGACAUAUUCACAUAACUGUUACCAGAUUCUCAGGAGUCUGUGACCCCCUCCCAUAAAGAUGAGAAUCACUGGUCUAAAGAGACACAGAAAUCGUUAUAAUACCGUGACACCCUGAUUAGAUCUAGGAGCUAUGGUCCCAAACAUGCUUUCCCAACCUUACGAGAGGUACUUCCUCUUUGACUGGGUCAGUCCUUCCAAUGUUAUAUGAUUUUUUAAUAUCAUCUGGUGACUGACAGGAACUUUAAAGGGUCUGGGAUUUUACUUACAAACUAACAAGUUAGGCUGAUGCAGUUUGAUGAUGCUAGCAGAAAACACAAGACUCCUGAGUCAGAGGCAAAAGACUAUGUUCUUCACAGCAAUAGCAUCGCUAGAAUAUUAGCAUUUCCAAUUAGCUUUCCGGGCCCUAAUUCCCACAAAGCAAAGUGGUGAGGGCCAGUUGACACCUGGAGGUGCCAUGGGCCGCAUAUAGUAGAGGAACCCUGAGAUUAAGGAACUCAAAUCUUUUAUAAUGGGUGGUAAGCCUCCCAGAAGGUGAUGUUAUCUUAUUAACUGAACAGUAAGCAUUGCUGCUAAUUCCUUCACAGGGGGACAGUCUUCCACACUGCUCACUAUACCCACAUCCUUGAGAAGGUAGUUUGAAACCAAAGCAUGUGCCUCUGCUCAUGCAAUGUACUCAUCUUCAGCAUGUGACUUACUCCCCUCUAGGGGUUUCCUCAAUCCCUUCCCUUCCUCCUCACUGAUUUCCUGCUCUGCAUCCUGCCACAGAGUGCACUCCAGAACUGUAUCCUGAAUGUCUUCUGAGGACACUAGUUCAGUCUAGAAAACUACCAGGAUUUUGUAUAUGGUUUUUUGGAGGGAGAGGGGCUCCUAGUUAUGAACAAGGGAGACACACCAAGGGCAGAGAUGUGGCCUUUGGGUUGAAAUAUUGUGCGUUUCCUUCUACCUGGGCAAUUACUGCUGCUGACCUGAACACAGACCCAUUGUGGAAAGUGGGGAAGGUUUUAGUCCUGGGAGUGUGAACAACUGAUAGCUGCCGGGCUGGUACUUCUAUGUUAAAUAGCAAAGCAUCACACCCAUUACAUGAAAUUGGUCUUCAAGGAAGCACAAUAUUGUGCAUUAGACUCAGAGGUUUACCAUUUUGCCCAUUGCAGUGAGGGUAACUAGAUGUUUUUCUCAGAAAUAGAGACAAAUACCACCUUAAUGGCUUCUUUGAAAGUGAAGGUUAUAAAAUAACAUAUUCUAACUGAAAACGGAUUAUACCAUCUUCCUAAUAUCUAGCUUGGUGAUGAGGAGAAGCAGAGAAGAGUCUAUUUCUCACACUGCCAUUUCAGCAGAACAUUUUAUGGAAUCACAGCCAAAGUAAAACAUUUUUGUGAAAUAAAUACCUGUGUUCUCUGAAUCCAGUUUCAUCUUUGAUUAGUACUAAUGGCCUAUGAGGAAGAGAGGACAAACCGUUUUCAUCUUUCAUGUUGUGUGGAAUCGGUAGCCACUAAGCAUAUAUAACAUCCAUAGAGCAUUAGCGUCAGACCCUCUUCUGCCCACUCCCUACACGCACACCCCAAAAAACCUAUGGUAAGUAGCUAGUAAAGACUAUAUGGAAUUAUUAAUUUAAAAAAUACAUUUUUCCUUCAAAAAUAUACCUCAUAAGCUGCAGAAGUUAUAUAGCCAGAGAUGUUUGGAUUCCAAAAUUGUUGAAAAAAAAAAUUAAAAGGAUGUGGAAAAGUGAGAACAAGUUCAGAUGAUGCCCAAGGGUCCAUGCAAGGAAAUAUCUAAAGAAAAGACCAAGGAAUGGAGACUAGAGAACUAUGUAAACAAAAUUGACAUGAAUAAUCCAUGUAAAACAUUCGCUACAGUACACGACAGCUAUAAAUAUUAGUAUUACUAUUUACCUGAGCUGGGGAAGCAAGACAGAUUGCAGUAAUAUGUGUUUAUUUAUUUGUUCAUUCAUUUUUCAAGUCAUUUAUUCAUUCAUUAUUUGUUUGAAAUUAUGUGUCCUAGAAUUUAGGUACCUUCCAUUGUCGCCUGCAUUUCAGUUUCACUUUCUUCAUGAAUUUAAAGAUUACUUGAAUCAACUUACUUAGCUAGAACUCUGUAGUCAGAUAAGCAAAGAGGAAAGACCUGUUCCAGAUUCCAAGGCAGAAAUAGAUUCAACAGAAGGAAGAACCCCUCAGGGUAACAAGCCCCUGGGGUCAGUGGCAGCCUGGAGGGCUACUGUUCUAACUCAGGAGGCUCCAGGGCCUUUCAGUCUUCUCUUGGGAACCCUGCUCCCCAUGUCUGUCUCUGAAGGGGUUGUUUUGAGCAUUACAUGCCUUAAUGAAUGGGAAGCACUGUGCUGUGGUAGACAACCAGGAAAUUAUAGUUGUUAUUAACAAUUACAGGUAAUGCAAAGUUACGUUUUAUUAGCAUGAACUUCACUAUCAGAAUGCACUGCUUCAAAUUCUGUUCUUUAGCUAUAUAAUUUGAUAAAUUAUUUGACCUUCCUAAGCCUCUGUUUCCUUAUCUGUAAAAGAUUAUGAUCAUGAGGAUUAAAUUAUAUCAUGUCUGUAAAGUGCAAUACAUGAGACUAGCACAUACUGAGUGCUAAAUAUAACGUCUACUACAAUUAAUACAGCUACUAUUACCACUGCUACUACUAUCAUCAUCAUUAUUAUUAUCAUUAUUAACACCUCUUUUGGGGGGCACCUGGGGGGCUCAGUCAG